GGAGGAGGAGGACUGGGAUGCUGAAACAGGAGGAAGAAAAGGCGUUUAUUGAAGCUCAACAAAGGAGGAAAAUACACCUGGAACAGUCCUGUGUUUUUCUGGGUCUCUUUCCUGUCUUCCAGCUGGUUGAGGCAGAUGGCCGCCUGUCCCGAGUCUGGUUCUGCUGGACGAUUCUUCCUGUUAAAAAGGAGUUUUUCCUUUCCACUGUUGCCAAAUGCGCUUGMUCAGGAUGGUGAGCAAAGUGUGACAAAGUGAUUCAACACAAUCUGCUGGCAUCCUUAGAUAGAUUUUGUUUGUAAAGCGCCCUAUGUUGUGACUUGGCGCAACUUAAAACUGAAUUGCAGCCAAGUGCAUCACAGUUGCCCCCAGUGAGUCAGGUGAGAUCGUCCGAACAACCUCAACAAACUCAAAAGUUUAACCAUUUUUUAAACUGGUGUUUUUCCUGCAGAUUUUGAGAAUUACAAUAAAUUUCUGCACACUUUGUCAAAGUGCGUGUUUAUUCAUAUGGCUGAGUGUUUUUCUGUCACGAGAAGCGUGCAACCCCCCCACCAUCGUAUUCUCGUGUUUCGCGUUACAUUGCAGAGGCCAAAGGUGUGUUUGUGUGAAAAUAACACAUUGCUUCACAAAACCAUAAAAUGGUAGUCUACUUAAAAUCACAUGGAAACACAUUCACAACACAGCAAACUUUUCCUUAUUUUAUAUAAAAAACAAUAUGAUUUGAAAAUAAAUAUGCUUUACUGUUUUACAUAUACACAGAAAACAAAACAAAAAAAACAUGUUAAUAGUGGAGAAGAGACAACAAGAACUAAUAAACAGAGGCUCUAAGACUGAUGGUGGACAGAAUGAAAAUUUGUUAUCCAAAUGUAUAAAUUCUGGUGGUGUUACAGUGGUGAAUACUGGGCUGCUAGCAGUAGUUUCAUAUAAUUUGCAUCGUGCACGUCCAACAAAACACAGGCUUUCUAAUGCGUUUAAAUACUUAAAUACAAUUGACUUACAUCUACAAAGAUGUGCAUGUAGCAAAGGCAGGUGAACAUGGUUCAUUCAUACACAUUUAUACUGCAGACACACACAAAGUUAAAACCCAACACGCCCCACCCUCAGAUGACAGGAGUUGAAAUGGAGAUGUCACCUGUACGUCAGUACAAAUGAUCAAUUUAGGGAAUGUUAGCAAAUCAUGUUUAACUUAUUAUUUCAUAGAAAAGCACAGAGAGCCUUGGUGCUGAAAGCAGCCAUCAGUGACCUUACACGAGGGAAUAAAAGACAGCUACUAGUUCAUAACACAGCAUACAUAAAUAGACCAAAUUAAAAAUGUGUAGAAGACUGAAUACUGUAAAAUACUCUAUAACAUUAUAAAUUAC